GGGGACAUAGUUUAAUUGGUAAAACUGGCGACUUUGCAAGUCGUUAUCUCAGGUUCGAAUCCUGAUGUCUCCAU